UACGUAGGGGGCAAGCGUUAUCCGGAUUUACUGGGUGUAAAGGGAGCGUAGACGGCAAUACAAGUCGGAAGUGAAAUACCCGGGCUCAACCUGGGAACUGCUUUGGAAACUGUAUGGCUGGAGUGCUGGAGAGGUAAGCGGAAUUCCUAGUGUAGCGGUGAAAUGCGUAGAUAUCACGAAGAACUCCGAUUGCGAAGGCAGCCUGCUGGACUGUAACUGACGCUGAUGCUUGAAAGUGUGGGUAUCAAACAGG
rnacentral:rRNA from 1 species